AGUCACUCCCCAGGCAGCUGUGAGAACAAUAUUAAUCGAGAACCAGAUUGAUAUUUAAAACGACGUCUUCAACUCAUCUGUCAUCAUACAUGAACUAUAAGCAUAUUGUACUGUUUCUCAUCUUGCUUUAUACAAAGGACACAAACGGUGGCGGACCAAUAAAAAUACCAUUAACUCUAAAGUGCGGACAUGGGAAAAAACCCAGUGGCUAUCAUCAGAUUGAUGGACACAGUGGCCUUACUUGUAUUGACCAAAAUGCCUCAUGUGAAGAGCCAUGGAAAAGUAAUUGCAAAUCAAGUAAAAAUAAGCUCACUUGCAGUGAUGGGACAGUGUG